UCAAGCUAUGUGAAUGACAUAAAUUUGAAAUCGGCUUCGUUAAAAUGGUCAAAAAGGUCUCAUUUUCCCCCCGAAAUUUACACUGCUAAUCCUUCCCAAACCUAUUAUUAAUUUACCACGAUCAUACAAUUUCAUGACUUGUAUAUUGUAUUUAUAUCGGAUAUAGGCAGAGCACCCUAUCUUUUUCAGGAUCUUGUAAGUCACUUGUCUCUCAGACAUUAGAACUUCUACCUGCAAGGACCUUGGUAAAGUUUUAAGUUCCUCCUUAUCAUGAAAAGUCAAGAUUUUUAGUUUGUUUUUCUGGGUGUUUUGUUUGUGCUUUAUUUGUUUUGUUUUUGCUCCCCUUUCUCAAUCGUCAGCCAAGUGGUCAAAUCAGUAACUGGAAAAUCAGUAACUUUGAAAUAGAAGUAAGUACAGACAAAACCUCUGAAGGAGGCCAGACUGUCAUAGUAACACUGGACUUUUUAAUCUAAAGCAGGGCAUGCUGGGGAGAAAGAAUAAUGGAGAAAUAACCCAUGAUUAAGUGUCCAUCAAUGGGUGAAUAGACAAAUUGUGGCAUAUCCAUACAAUGGAAUAUUAUUCAGCCAGCCUUUAAAAGAAAAUUCUGACAUUUGCUACAACAUGAUGGAUCUGGACACAAGGUGCUCAGUGAAUUAAGCCAGACACAGAAGGACUGACCCUGUCUGAUCCCCCUCUGAGGAGGUCCCUAGAGGAGCCCUAUCCACAGACACAGAAAAAAAAUGCCAGCCAGUACUGUUGAAAGCAUGAUAGAAAAAAAUCACUACUGUGAAUGCCCCAAGAAAGAACCAUUGCAGACAAGAGUCAUCAGUGGAUGCUAAAACCAUGAGCUGAAAGGAUCAUCGCACAUCCAUCAAAGAUCAUCCCUGAGAAUGCUGCUAGAUACAAAGAGGAAAAAAUAACCUUACAAUGAAUCACGCCAUUGCCCUCCUGGUCCAGGGAUGACUCUUACCAGGCUACCAGUGGAACAUGCAGAAUGACGAGCUUCUACCAGGCUGCGCCGGGAAGCCAUGCAGCACCAAAAAGAAAGUGUUCUUGCCUCCAAAAUUUAACUUGGAUCGAGUCACACUUUCAGUCCUAACUUUCCAUUUACAGGAAAAACACAUGGAUAGAGGAACAUGAGAGAGGACACCAUGAGAAGCGAUUCAAUAAACCCAGAAGGAGGAACUCUCGACAAUCUGGCUUCCUCCAGUCAAGAGGAUGGAGGAAAAGAAAUAGGGACUGCCAAGGGGUUACCAGAGAUGACGUCACAGCCAAAUGCAAUGUGGGGCCCUGCGUUGGAUCUUGGGGCCUUGACCAAAGCAGCUGUGUCAGCUGGGGAACUCUGAACAUGAAUAAUAACAGGUGAGGAAACUGAAGCUCAGAGGAGGUAAGUGAGUUGCCCAGAGUUGUAUGGCGAGGAUAUGGCAGAGCUGGGGGCCUCCUCAAUGAGACCAACCCUGACCGUCCCACUUAGAUGCACAUUUACCCAUGAGGCCCCUUGUCUGUCUCCCCUCCUGGCCAGGAUGGAAGUUCCAGGGGGACAGGCACCUUGGUGGUGUUCAUUUAUGUAUAUCCUGAGCACACAGCCUGGCACAGGGUAAAUGCUCAAUAAAUAUUUGUUGCAUGAGAUGAAAUACUACUGAAUCACAUAGUGAGUGGGCUAGUUUCUUUUCAAUUCAUUUCUGAUCUAAUGUCUGCAGCAAGAAAGUCUUGGCAUCCAUGCAUCUUAAGCCUCUCUUGGCACUCCCCAAGCUCCGUCAAGGACAAGGGAACAGAUUCAGAGGUCAGAGUCUGGGACAGGUAACUGCCUCCGGUGCAACGCUUCUCAACCCCUCCUGGACAUCGAAAUCUCCUGCAGAGCUUAAAAAAUACCAGUGCCACGGGGAGGGCUGUGCAACACAGAGAAGACAAGUAGUGA